CGGGACGGGUGAGUAACGCGUGGGUAACCUGCCUUGUACUGGGGGACAACAGUUAGAAAUGACUGCUAAUACCGCAUAAGCGCACAGUAUCGCAUGAUACAGUGUGGAAAACUCCGGUGGUACAAGAUGGACCCGCGUCUGAUUAGCUAGUUGGUAAGGUAAGGGCUUACCAAGGCGACGAUCAGUAGCCGACCUGAGAGGGUGACCGGCCACAUUGGGACUGAGACACGGCCCAA
rnacentral:rRNA from 1 species